rnacentral:rRNA from 1 species
UUUUGGACAAUGGGGGAAACCCUGAUCCAGCAAUGCCGCGUGAGUGAAGGAGGCCUUCGGGUUGUAAAGCUCUUUUGUCAGGGAAGAAACACCGGCUUUAACACAGUCCGGGAAUGACGGUACCUGAAGAAUAAGCACCGGCUAACUACGUGCCAGCAGCCGCGGUAAUACGUAGGGUGCAAGCGUUAAUCGGAAUUACUGGGCGUAAAGCGUGCGCAGGCGGUUAUACAAGACAGGCGUGAAAUCCCCGGGCUUAACCUGGGGAUGGCGCCUGUGACUGUAUAGCUAGAGUGUGUCAGAGGGGGGUAGAAUUCCACGUGUAGCAGUGAAAUGCGUAGAUAUGUGGAGGAAUACCAAUGGCGAAGGCAGCCCCCUGGAAACACUACGUCAGCAGAG